rnacentral:rRNA from 1 species
GACAGGUGGUGCAUGGCUGUCGUCAGCUCGUGUCGUGAGAUGUUGGGUUAAGUCCCGCAACGAGCGCAACCCACGUCUUUAGUUGCCAGCAUUUAGUUGGGCACUCUAGAGAGACCGCCGGUGAUAAACCGGAGGAAGGUGUGGAUGACGUCAAGUCAUCAUGCCCCUUACAUCCUGGGCUACACACGUACUACAAUGCUACGGACAAAGGGCAGCAAGUUCGCGAGGACAAGCAAAUCCCAUAAACCGUGGCUCAGUUCAGAUCGUAGGCUGCAACUCGCCUACGUGAAGGAGGAAUCGCUAGUAAUCGCAGGUCAGCAUACUGCGGUGAAUACGUUCCCGGG